rnacentral:misc_RNA from 1 species
GAUGAAGAACGUAGCGAAAUGCGAUAAGUAAUGUGAAUUGCAGAAUUCAGUGAAUCAUCGAAUCUUUGAACGCACAUUGCGCCCCUUGGUAUCCCGAGGGGCAUGCCUGUUCGAGCGUCAUUAUAACCCCUCAAGCUCAGCUUGGUGUUGGGGCCUGCUGCACUGGCAGCCCUUAAAAUCAGUGGCGGCGCCAUCUGGCUCUAAGCGUAGUAAUUCUUCUCGCUAUGGAGUCCUGGUGGAUGCUUGCCAUCAACCCCCAAUUUUUCUAUGGUUGACCUCGGAUCAGGUAGGGAUACCCGCUGAACUUAAGCAUAUCAAUAAGCGGAGGA